rnacentral:rRNA from 1 species
GUGGGGAAUUUUGGACAAUGGGCGCAAGCCUGAUCCAGCAAUGCCGCGUGCAGGAAGAAGGCCUUCGGGUUGUAAACUGCUUUUGUACGGAACGAAACGGUCCGGGUUAAUACCCUGGGCUAAUGACGGUACCGUAAGAAUAAGCACCGGCUAACUACGUGCCAGCAGCCGCGGUAAUACGUAGGGUGCAAGCGUUAAUCGGAAUUACUGGGCGUAAAGCGUGCGCAGGCGGUUUUGUAAGAUCGAUGUGAAAUCCCCGGGCUCAACCUGGGAACUGCAUUGGUGACUGCAAGGCUGGAGUGCGGCAGAGGGGGAUGGAAUUCCGCGUGUAGCAGUGAAAUGCGUAGAUAUGCGGAGGAACACCGAUGGCGAAGGCAAUCCCCUGGGCCUGCACUGACGCUCAUGCACGAAAGCGUGGGGAGCAAACAGGAUUAGAUACCCGGGUAGUCC